rnacentral:rRNA from 1 species
UACGGAGGGUGCAAGCGUUAAUCGGAAUUACUGGGCGUAAAGCGCACGCAGGCGGUUGGUUAAGUUAGAUGUGAAAUCCCCGGGCUCAACCUGGGAAUUGCAUUUAAAACUGUCCAGCUAGAGUCUUGUAGAGGGGGGUAGAAUUCCAGGUGUAGCGGUGAAAUGCGUAGAGAUCUGGAGGAAUACCGGUGGCGAAGGCGGCCCCCUGGACAAAGACUGACGCUCAGGUGCGAAAGCGUGGGGAGCAAACAGG